rnacentral:rRNA from 1 species
GCUAACUACGUGCCAGCAGCCGCGGUAACACGUAGGGGGCAAGCGUUGUCCGGAAUUACUGGGCGUAAAGGGCGCGUAGGCGGCCUUUUAAGUUAGAGGUGAAAGGCCAGGGCUCAACCCUGGAGUUGCCUCUAAAACUGGGAGGCUUGAGUGCAGGAGAGGGAAGUGGAAUUCCUAGUGUAGCGGUGAAAUGCGUAGAUAUUAGGAGGAACACUAGUGGCGAAGGCGGCUUCCUGGCCUGUAACUGACGCUGAGGCGCGAAAGCGUGGGUAGCAAACAGGAUUAGAUACCCCUGUAGUC